GAUGAACGCUAGCUAUAGGCUUAACACAUGCAAGUCGAGGGGAAACGGCAAAGAGUGCUUGCACACUUUGGACGUCGACCGGCGCACGGGUGAGUAACGCGUAUCCAACCUGCCCUUUACUUGGGGAUAACCCGUUGAAAGACGGACUAAUACCCAAUGAUAUUCAUUGAUGACAUCUGAUUUGAAUUAAAGAUUUAUCGGUAUAGGACGGGGAUGCGUCUGAUUAGCUUGUUGGUGAGGUAACGGCUCACCAAGGCCACGAUCAGUAGGGGUUCUGAGAGGAAGGUCCCCCACAUUGGAACUGAGACACGGUCCAAACUCCUACUGGAGGCAGCUGUUAGGAAUAUGGGUCAAUGGACGAAAGUCUGAACCAUUCAGUAGCGGGCAGGUGUACGGUCCUAUUGGUUUAAACUGCUUUUUUUGGUAAUUUCUACAUUACUUUUAAUGUUUUGCUGUUCUAUGCGAAUUGGACGGGUAAUUCCUUGCUAUGGCUGCGGUAAUACUGAAGGUCCUGUCUUUUUCGGAUUAAUGGUUUAUUGUGAGUGUUGUGUGGUUUUAUGUUUUUUUUAAGUUUUGUCUUAUUUGAGUGUGUUGUUGUUUGCUUGUGUUGUAUUUUAUGUAGUUGUAGUAUCUGUGCUGUUUGUUGUUUAGUAGUUAAUAUAUGAUGAUGUGUUGGUGUGUACAUUGUAGUGUGGUGUGUGUGUUUGUGAUGUGUGGAGUUUGUUGGGAUGUGUGAUGAUUCUGUGAUUUUAUGUCGAUGUUUUGUUGUUGUUGGUGUGUGCUGCUGGUGGUGGUGUUGUGUAAUAAAUAAAAAUAAUGUAAUUAUUUAUGCUGUGUGUUAGUUUUGUGCCGUUUGGUGUGGUCUUUGGUGUUUAUGUGUAGGUGUGUGUGUGGUGUGCAUGUAUGUUUUGUGUGUUGUUGUAUGUAGUCGAUUGUGUUAUUGUUUUGGUUGUUGUAUAUUUAUAUGCUGCUUGUUCUUUAUG
rnacentral:rRNA from 1 species